UACGGGGGGGGCAAGCGUUGUUCGGAAUUACUGGGCGUAAAGGGCUCGUAGGCGGCCAACUAAGUCAGACGUGAAAUCCCUCGGCUUAACCGGGAAACUGCGUCUGAUACUGGAUGGCUUGAGUUUGGGAGAGGGAUGCGGAAUUCCAGGUGUAGCGGUGAAAUGCGUAGAUAUGACUCGGAAGGCCAAAGGCGAAGGCAGGUUACUGGUACGCAACUGACGCUGAGGCACGAAAGCGUGGGGAGCAAACAGG
rnacentral:rRNA from 1 species